ensembl:snoRNA small nucleolar RNA SNORD94
CUGGCUGUGAAGAGACGCGCAGGGGUACGGACCUCAGCUGAUCAUGGGAGCUGAGUGUUGGCGCUGGUUCUCAGCUCAGUGGGCGUGUGGUCCACUGACUGGGUGGCGCCGACAUGAUAAAGACGCCUGACUGAGCCUC